rnacentral:lncRNA from 1 species
ACGGUGCCACCCCGGCGGUGCCUGUCCUUGUCCCGUGCUGGGCAGCCAGCAGCGUCAGCAGGGAGGGAGGGAAGGAGGUGGGAGGGAAGGAAGAGCCCUGAACCCCCAAAGCACGCUGUGUUUCAGGGAGAGCAGGGCAGGAGGAUGCUGAGGAGCAGAGCACAGCCCAGUCACACACACCAUGUCAGCCACAUCGGCUCCUGCUGCCAAACACCAAGCUCUGUCUAUCCCGCAAGGAACAGCCAGUCCUCUGCUCAAACCCAAUGGGACACGAGGUGCUACACCUCCAGCUGGGCAGGAAACUUCACGGAGAGGGAAGCAAGGCCACAGAGAGGGGCUGAGGUGGCCCAGGGUGGUCGCAGGGCACACACCGGGCACUGCCCAGAGAGAGGGGAUCACACCGGGCUGACACGGGGUGCUGAGCUCAUCCCCGAAGCACGAGAGGAGCAGAGGAGGGAGCAGCUGCUGCCAUCGCACUCGCUGCUGUCCCGCAAUCAGAAUCCCUUCCCCAGAGCCCCGGCGGCUCACGGCACCCUGCGGAAACAGCCGCGGAUUCCUGCAGCAAACAUUUCCAGAGGGUCUGGAGGGGACACGGGAAUCCCCCGGUGCCCCCGGAGCGCGGCCGGCACAGCUCUGCCUACACCGGUUAACUCACACAUCACACUCCGCUCCGCCGCCACAAGCGGCCGUGGAGCGCCUGCGGCACCGAGUGAACCCGGGGACAGGCGGGGAACCGGGCACGGAACCGGGCAGGGAGCCGGGCACGGAACCGGGCACGGAACCGGGCAGGGAGCCGGGCAGAGAACCGGGCACGGAACCGGGCAGGGAGCCGGGCACGGAACCGGGCAGGGAGCCGGGCACGGAACCGGGCAGGGAACCGGGCAGAGAACCGGGCACGGAACCGGGCAGGGAGCCGGGCACGGAACCGGGCAAAGAACCGGGCAGAGAACCGGGCAGGGAGCCGGGCAGAGAACCGGGCAGGGAGCCGGGCACGGAACCGGGCAGGGAGCCGAGCAGCAGGGAAGAACUGCAGGGUGGGCUCUGUCCCCCCCGGUCCCUCGCUGCAGGGUUUGCGGUGCCCGGCCGCCGGUACCGGGAGGGCUGCGAGGGCAGGAAUGAGGGAGAUGAGGGAUACUGGGGAAAAAUAACCCGGGCGUCACUCAGCCGUGCUCUGCCCGGGGUACACCCGCCCUCCCGGACACCUCCGGACACGGACACCGCUCCCGGUGUAUCCCGGACCUGGACACCGCUCCCGGUGUAUCCCGGACACCUCCGGACCUGAACACCGCUCCCGGUGUAUCCCGGACACCUCCGGACACGGACACCGCUCCCGGUGUAUCCCGGACANN